rnacentral:rRNA from 1 species
GAUGAACGCUGGCGGCGUGCCUAAUACAUGCAAGUCGAGCGAACGGACGAGAAGCUUGCUUCUCUGAUGUUAGCGGCGGACGGGUGAGUAACACGUGGAUAACCUACCUAUAAGACUGGGAUAACUUCGGGAAACCGGAGCUAAUACCGGAUAAUAUUUUGAACCGCAUGGUUCAAAAGUGAAAGACGGUCUUGCUGUCACUUAUAGAUGGAUCCGCGCUGCAUUAGCUAGUUGGUAAGGUAACGGCUUACCAAGGCAACGAUGCAUAGCCGACCUGAGAGGGGGAUCGGCCAACCUGGAACGUAGACCAGGCCCAGACCCCGAGGGGAGGAAGCAGGAGGGAAUUUGCCGAAAGGGGCGAAAGCCUGACGGAGCAACGCCGGGGGGGUGAUGAAGGUCUUCGGAUCGUAAAACUCUGUUUUUAGGGAAAAAAAAAUGGGUAAGUAACUGUGCAAAUCUUGAGGGUCCCAAAGAAAAAAGCCCCGGCUAACUCCGG